AUGGAUUUGCCCGGACCACCCGGAGGUGGCCAGUCAGAGAGCCGUGUCUCUCUACAGUCAGAGGUUUUUGUACGGCGGCUCAAUGAGUUUGUAUCACUGUGGUUCACGUUCGGUGGAGGAACCAGACUGGAAUUUGGAUGUGAUGUCCGUCCCACUCUGACAGUGUUGCCCCCCUCCAGUGAGGAGCUGAAGCAUGGAAAUGCCACGAUCACAUGUCUGGCCAACAAGGGCUUCCCCUCAGACUGGAGGCUGUCCUGGAAGGUGGAUGGCAGCAGCAGCAUCAGUGGGGAGGAGAGCAGGAGCCCCGCGGUGCUGAAGGACCGCCUCUACAGCUGGAGCAGCACCCUGAGGCUCCCUGCAGACCAGUGGGAGAAGGUGGGCUCUGUGACCUGUGAGGCCACCCAGGGCUCCCAGACUUCAGUCUCAGAGAAACUGAGGAAAUAUGAGUGUUCCUAGUCCUGACUCAACUCACUGGGACUCUGACACUGGUUUUACUGCUCUCUGCAUUCUGUAACAAUUUCAUUUUUAUCCAUUUUUCUUGCUCUAA